GUGAGGAAUAUUGCGCAAUGGAGGCAACUCUGACGCAGCCAUGCCGCGUGCAGGAAGAAGGCGCUACGCGUUGUAAACUGCUUUUAACCGGGAAGAAACCCCAGGACGUGUCCUGGGUUGACGGUACCGGAGGAAUAAGCACCGGCUAACUUCGUGCCAGCAGCCGCGGCAAUACGAAGGGUGCAAGCGUUAUCCGGAUUCAUCGGGUUUAAAGGGUGCGUCGGCGGAGCGUUAAGUCAGUGGUGAAAUCCUGCAGCUUAACUGUAGACUUGCCAUUGAUACUGGCGCUCUUGAGUGCGCUUGAAGUGGGCGGAAUGUGCCGUGUAGCGGUGAAAUGCUUAGAUAUGACACAGAACACCAAUUGCGAAGGCAGCUCACUAAGGCGAUACUGACGCUGAGGCACGAAAGCGUGGGGAUCGAACAGGAUUAGAAACCCUAGUAGUCC
rnacentral:rRNA from 1 species